UAAGGAAUAUUGGUCAAUGGACGCAAGUCUGAACCAGCCAUGCCGCGUGAAGGAUGAAGGUCCUCUGGAUUGUAAACUUCUUUUAUCUGGGACGAAAAAAGGGCUUUCUAGCUCACUUGACGGUACCAGAGGAAUAAGCACCGGCUAACUCCGUGCCAGCAGCCGCGGUAAUACGGAGGGUGCGAGCGUUAUCCGGAUUUACUGGGUUUAAAGGGUGCGUAGGUGGGCAGGUAAGUCAGUGGUGAAAUCUUCGAGCUUAACUCGGAAACUGCCAUUGAUACUAUCUGUCUUGAAUGCCCUGGAGGUAAGCGGAAUAUGUCAUGUAGCGGUGAAAUGCUUAGAUAUGACAUAGAACACCAAUUGCGAAGGCAGCUUACUACGGGGUGAUUGACACUGAGGC
rnacentral:rRNA from 1 species